UUUAGAUUUGUUUGGCCAUAAUGAUAAAGUUCUACUCAUGCACAUAGCUCAAUUAAAUGUAAGUGAAGAAAUAAAAAUAAUAUCGAAAGAACAUACAAUAUGCACAUCCCUAUCAACUGCGACGAAACGAAAAGGCGUUAAGCAACAGCUACACCGCACUGACGUCAAAACGUCAUACUGGCAACUGUUGUCACUUGCAAACGAACGGAAGAAAAGAGAAACGGCACAUCAGCCACAGGAUUGCUCAUAAAGUGAACAGAAGUGACACUGCGUGGAUGCCGAAUUUGGCCUGAGUCCCACUGGAGUGCAACAUUGCGGUAGCUGGUGAGGGCGAAAAUUCCUACGGGAAUUAGUCCGAUCGGUUCAGGAAAAAAACGGCUUUCGUGCGAUUUCCAACUGCCCGGCGGAUAGAUAGGCAUUCUUCAAGAUUGCGGGGAAAGUUCACUGGCCGCCGAAGCAACUCCGAUACGCAACCCGAUACGAUUCCACCUGGAGGACAAGGACAGGUCCGGAAGGAGCGCUCUUCCCUGGACAGGAUAGUUGCGGCAGGUCUAAGAAGGUCCACGCACGUGCACUUUUGAGAGAGGAUAAACACGAUUCUACGUGUGGAUGAACGAUUCCGUUUGGAAACCGGAUUGGGGAACCAACACCGACUCAC